GAUGAAGAACGUAGCGAAAUGCGAUAAGUAAUGUGAAUUGCAGAAUUCAGUGAAUCAUCGAAUCUUUGAACGCACAUUGCACCCGUCAGUAUUCUGGCGGGCAUGCCUGUUCGAGCGUCAUUACGCCCCUCAAGUCCCCUGUGGACUUGGUGUUGGGGAUCGGCGAGGCUGGUUUUCCAGCACAGCCGUCCCUUAAAUUAAUUGGCGGUCUCGCCGUGGCCCUCCUCUGCGCAGUAUUAAAACACUCGCAACAGGAGCCCGGCGCGGUCCACUGCCGUAAAACCCCCCAACUUUUUAUAGUUGACCUCGAAUCAGGUAGGACUACCCGCUGAACUUAAGCAUAUCAAUAAGCGGAGGA
rnacentral:misc_RNA from 1 species